UCGUGACUUGACGGGCGGUGUGUACAAGGCCCGGGAACGUAUUCACCGCAGCGUUGCUGAUCUGCGAUUACUAGCGACUCCGACUUCAUGGGGUCGAGUUGCAGACCCCAAUCCGAACUGAGACCGGCUUUUUGGGAUUCGCUCCACCUCGCGGUAUCGCAGCCCUUUGUACCGGCCAUUGUAGCAUGCGUGAAGCCCAAGACAUAAGGGGCAUGAUGAUUUGACGUCAUCCCCACCUUCCUCCGAGUUGACCCCGGCAGUCUCCUAUGAGUCCCCACCAUGACGUGCUGGCAACAUAGGACGAGGGUUGCGCUCGUUGCGGGACUUAACCCAACAUCUCACGACACGAGCUGACGACAACCAUGCACCACCUGUACACCAGUCCGAAGACGCGACCAUCUCUGGCCGAUUCCGGUGUAUGUCAAGCCUUGGUAAGGUUCUUCGCGUUGCAUCGAAUUAAUCCGCAUGCUCCGCCGCUUGUGCGGGCCCCCGUCAAUUCCUUUGAGUUUUAGCCUUGCGGCCGUACUCCCCAGGCGGGGCACUUAAUGCGUUAGCUGCGGCGCGGAACUCGUGGAAUGAGCCCCACACCUAGUGCCCAACGUUUACGGCAUGGACUACCAGGGUAUCUAAUCCUGUUCGCUCCCCAUGCUUUCGCUCCUCAGCGUCAGUAGUGGCCCAGUGACCUGCCUUCGCCAUCGGUGUUCCUCCUGAUAUCUGCGCAUUCCACCGCUACACCAGGAAUUCCAGUCACCCCUACCACACUCUAGUCUGCCCGUACCCGAUGCAAGCUCAAGGUUGAGCCUUGAGUUUUCACACCAGACGCGACAAACCGCCUACGAGCUCUUUACGCCCAAUAAUUCCGGACAACGCUUGCGCCCUACGUAUUACCGCGGCUGCUGGCACGUAGUUAGCCGGCGCUUCUUCUGCAGGUACCGUCACGACUAGGAGAACCCAACCGCUUCUUCCCUACU
rnacentral:rRNA from 1 species